AGAGUUUGAUCAUGGCUCAGAACGAACGCUGGCGGCAGGCCUAACACAUGCAAGUCGAGCGCCCCGCAAGGGGAGCGGCGGACGGGUGAGUAACACGUGGGAAUUUUCCUCAAGGUACGGAACAACUCAGGGAAACUUGGGCUAAUACCGUAUGAUGCAGAGAUGCCAAAGAUUUAUCGCCUUGGGAUAAGCCCGCGUCAGAUUAGGUAGUUGGUGGGGUAAUGGCCUACCAAGCCUGUGAUCUGUAGCUGGUCUGAGAGGACGAUCAGCCACAUUGGGACUGAGACACGGCCCAAACUCCUACGGGAGGCAGCAGUGGGGAAUCUUGCGCAAUGGGCGAAAGCCUGACGCAGCCAUGCCGCGUGAAUGAUGAAGGUCUUAGGAUUGUAAAGUUCUUUCGCCCGUGACGAUGAUGACGGUAACGGGAGAAGAAGCCCCGGCUAACUUCGUGCCAGCAGCCGCGGUAAUACGAAGGGGGCUAGCGUUGUUCGGAAUUACUGGGCGUAAAGCGCGCGUAGGCGGUUUUGCAAGCCAGAGGUGAAAUGCCCGAGCUCAACUUGGGAAUUGCCUUUGGGACUGUGAGGCUUUGAGGACGAGAGAGGUGAGUGGAAUUCCCAGUGUAGAGGUGAAAUUCGUAGAUAUUGGGAAGAACACCGGUGGCGAAGGCGGCUCACUGGCUCGUUUCUGACGCUAAAGCGCGAAAGCGUGGGGAUCAAACAGGAUUAGAUACCCUGGUAGUCCACGCUGUAAACGAUGAGUGCUAGGCGUCGGCAGGCUUGCCUGUCGGUGCCGCAGCUAAC
rnacentral:rRNA from 1 species